GGGUUGUGAGGUUAAGCGACUAAGCGUACACGGUGGAUGCCCUGGCAGUCAGAGGCGAUGAAGGGCGUGCUAAUCUGCGAUAAGCGCCGGUAAGGUGAUAUGAACCGUUAUAACCGGCGAUACCCGAAUGGGGAAACCCAGUGUGAUUCGUCACACUAUCAUUAACUGAAUCCAUAGGUUAAUGAGGCGAACCGGGGGAACUGAAACAUCUAAGUACCCCGAGGAAAAGAAAUCAACCGAGAUUCCCCCAGUAGCGGCGAGCGAACGGGGAGGAGCCCAGAGCCUGAAUCAGCAUGUGUGUUAGUGGAAGCGUCUGGAAAGGCGCGCGAUACAGGGUGACAGCCCCGUACACAAAAGCGCAUGUGCUGUGAGCUCGAUGAGUAGGGCGGGACACGUGGUAUCCUGUCUGAAUAUGGGGGGACCAUCCUCCAAGGCUAAAUACUCCUGACUGACCGAUAGUGAACCAGUACCGUGAGGGAAAGGCGAAAAGAACCCCGGCGAGGGGAGUGAAAAAGAACCUGAAACCGUGUACGUACAAGCAGUGGGAGCACAGGUUUACCUGUGUGACUGCGUACCUUUUGUAUAAUGGGUCAGCGACUUAUAUUCUGUAGCAAGGUUAACCGUAUAGGGGAGCCGUAGGGAAACCGAGUCUUAACCGGGCGUUAAGUUGCAGGGUAUAGACCCGAAAC
rnacentral:rRNA from 1 species